UACAGAGACUGCAAGCGUUAUUCGGAUUCACUGGGCGUAAAGGGUGCGCAGGCGGCCAAGUGUGUGAGGCGUGAAAGCCUGGGGCUUAACUCCAGAAUUGCACCUCAAACUACUUGGCUAGAGCAUUGGAGAGGGUAGCAGAAUUCAUGGUGUAGCAGUGAAAUGCGUAGAUAUCAUGAGGAAUACCAGAGGCGAAGGCGGCUACCUGGACAAUUGCUGACGCUCAGGCACGAAAGCGUGGGGAGCAAAAAGGG
rnacentral:rRNA from 1 species